CAAUAGCGUAUAUUAAAGUUGUUGCAGUUAAAAAGCUCGUAGUUGAACUUCGGAACCGGUCGAUUGGUCCGUCCUCUGGAUUGUGUACUGAUCGAUCUGUUCUUCUUCGCGAAGACCGCGUGUGCCCUUAACUGGGUGUGCACGGGAUUCACGACGUUUACUUGAAAAAAUUAGAGUGUUCAAAGCAGGCAUUCGCUUGAAUAUCUCAGCAUGGAAUAAUGGAAUAGGACUUUGGUUCUAUUUUGUUGGUUUCUUGAACCGAAGUAAUGAUUAAUAGGGACAGUUGGGGGCAUUCAUAUUCCAUUGUCAGAGGUGAAAUUCUUGGAUUAACGGAAGAUGAACUUCUGCGAAAGCAUCUGCCAAGGAUGUUUUCAUUGAUCAAGAACGAAAGUUAGGGGAUCGAAGAUGAUUAGAU
rnacentral:rRNA from 1 species